AAUUUUCAAACUCGUCGAAUAAUCACACAAAAUCAGAAGCAAAAAUAUCUGCGACUUUUUAAACAGGAGAGUCUUUAAAAAAUCGAAACUAGUGACAAAGUUUGCAGAAAAAUAAAUCAGCGCUUUAAUGAAAGGAUGAUUUCAAUGAACAUAACAAAGGAGAAUUUUCAAACUCGUCGAAUAAGCUCACAA